rnacentral:rRNA from 1 species
AGGACAUGGGAAGCUUGCUUCCUAUGGAAUCGAGUGGCAAACGGGUGAGUAACGCGUAAACAACCUGCCCUUCGGAUGGGGAUAACAGCCGGAAACGGCUGCUAAUACCGAAUACGAUCUUUUCGUCGCAUGACGAAAAGAAGAAAGGAUGGCCUCUAUACAAAGCUAUCGCCGAAGGAGGGGUUUGCGUCUGAUUAGCUGGUUGGAGGGGUAACGGCCCAACAAGGCGAUGAUCAGUAGCCGGUCUGAGAGGAUGAACGGCCACAUUGGGACUGAGACACGGCCCAGACUCCUACGGGAGGCAGCAGUGGGGAAUCUUCCGCAAUGGACGAAAGUCUGACGGAGCAACGCCGCGUGAGUGAAGAAGGUCUUCGGAUUGUAAAGCUCUGUUAUACGGGACGAAAAAGACGGAUGCCAACAGUAUCCGUCCGUGACGGUACCGUAAGAGAAGGCCACGGCUAACUACGUGCCAGCAGCCGCGGUAAUACGUAGGUGGCAAGCGUUGUCCGGAAUUAUUGGGCGUAAAGGGCGCGCAGGCGGUUCGGUAAGUCUGUCUUAAAAGUGCGGGGCUUAACCCCGUGAGGGGACGGAAACUGUCGAACUUGAGUGUCGGAGAGGAAAGCGGAAUUCCUAGUGUAGCGGUGAAAUGCGUAGAUAUUAGGAGGAACACCGGUGGCGAAAGCGGCUUUCUGGACGACAACUGACGCUGAGGCGCGAAAGCGUGGGGAGCAAACAGGAUUAG